rnacentral:sRNA from 1 species
GGAUUGCCUCAGUAACGGCGGAGUGAAGCGGCAACAGCUCAAAUUUGAAAUCUGGCUCUUUCAGAGUCCGAGUUGUAAUUUGUAGAGGAUGCUUCGGCGAGGGCUCCCGUCUAAGUUCCCUGGAACGGGACGUCAUAGAGGGUGAGAAUCCCGUAUGUGAUGGGUUGCUCAAGCCAUGUGAAGCUCCUUCGACGAGUCGAGUUGUUUGGGAAUGCAGCUCUAAAUGGGAGGUAAAUUUCUUCUAAAGCUAAAUACCGGCCAGAGACCGAUAGCGCACAAGUAGAGUGAUCGAAAGAUGAAAAGCACUUUGGAAAGAGAGUUAAAAAGUACGUGAAAUUGUUGAAAGGGAAGCGCUUGCAACCAGACUUGUUCGCAGUUGCUCAUCCGGUCUCCUGACCGGUGCACUCUUCUGCGUGCAGGCCAGCAUCAGUUCGGGCGGCCGGAUAAAGGCCCCAGGAAUGUACCACUCUUCGGGGUGUCUUAUAGCCUGGGGUGGAAUGCGGUCAGCCUGGACUGAGGAUCUCGCUUCUGCUAGGAUGCUGGCGUAAUGGUU